rnacentral:lncRNA from 1 species
AUUGUCUCUGUCUCUCUCUUUCUCCUCUGCUUCCCCUCACCCCACAACCAAAGUCAAGAGCGCAGACCCCAUGAUCACCUGAUACUUCCAAGCAAGCAGGUGUUCUUUUCAGAAGCCAGAAGCUGAUAACCUGGGCUUUCUGAUCUAACCCCAGCCCAAAUUCAUUGCAAUGGAGGAAUUGGGGAGGAGAUUCUUCCUACUGAGAAGUGGGUGCCAACUCUCCCUUUCAAAUUUGUUCAUCAACAAACUAAAGGGGAUGCCAGAAAUGUCUGGAGCAAUGGAAGAACCACUGGAAUAAUGCUCCUGCCUGAUUGUAUCUACUUAACCCACUCUCCAAGAGCCAGAAUCAGAUUUCAACCGUAUGGAAUCAUCUACAAUGCAGCAGAUGGGUUUACAAGUCUCUUGGUCUCUUCAUGAAGAAGGCGCAGCAAUCGUGUCCCAAGUCCUUGAGGACUUCACAGGGUGUUCUAGUGUCCUGAGAAUAUACCUGCCUAAGGUAAGGCAGUCAUGGUACCCUGGGAUUGAUGCACUUCUCACCCUCCACUUUGACUGUCAGAGGCAUUCAUAAGACUUUCUACAUAGGGGAUCCUUGGGCUGGCAGAGGUGGUCUUUGGAUAUGCAACGGCUACGUGCUGGCCUACAGAGCCCCUUUCCUGUCCUAGUACUCUGCCUGCUAAGAUAGAGAACGGAAUUGCCAUGACUUUAUAGUCUCUGAACACCUUUACCAAAACCACCUGGUUCUUAGGACAGACAAGUGGGAUUAAAGAGAGGGAAAGCUCUG